CUCUGGAGUCUUUGAUGUCUAUUAAAUAUCAAAGGAGUCAGCUUUUCUCUAUGGAGUUCAUUGUCUAGAGGAUUUCUGCCAUGCCCCUGCCUCACGGUGCUGUGUAGGCUACUUACAUACACUCUGCUCUGAGAUGGUGGUUCAGCUGGGAGUCUCCAAACUACAUUUCCAAAUCUUGUUAUUUAGCUUCCAGUAAAAUUCUGCUAAAGGAGACACAGUCACAAUGAGAAGGUGGAACAAGGACACAUUGGAAUGUGUCCCCAAAAAAACAUGUUGGAAACUUAAUCCCCAGUGUAACAGCAUUAGGAGGCAUGCACCAAGUAGUAAGAAGCUGCUGUCUAGAUACUGACCCUUGAUCUUUUACUUCCCAGCUUCCAGAACAACAGGCCAACAAAUUUGUUCUGUUAAAGCAUCACAAAAUGGCCUAUGAAGAUUAAGGUGACAGUAUACAGAAGAUAGACUUCAUAUAUCUGUAUGAAACAG